AUAUGCAGGAAAAGGAGCCCAAUUUAGGUUUGUGCUGCUCUUUUAAUAUUUACCGCUCACUGAACACCAGCCAACAAGUUUCCAGCCAGAACUUGUGAUACAACUUAAUCUAUAUGUCAUGUUUUCAGGUGAUGAGGUCUUCUGGCAAGUCCUGGGCAAGAUGCGCUCACUAACGAGCAGCUAAUAGGCACGGUUGAAAUCUGAUUUCAAUAUCUCUGGCCAACUAGCUGCAACAAAACGAGAGAAGCUCCAAAUAAAUGAUUUUCUCAAAUUCUGGGUGUAGACAUAUGUAUCUAUGAGCCUUCUAAAUUAUUGUACAGUGUUUAAGCCAAGUCUUUCUUCAAUGAAGUAUGUCCCACCAAAAUAGCUGUGUGUUCAAAUUUAAACCUUCCCUCUAUGUUAAUGUAUCAUCGUAAUCCACCAAAUAGAUUCCAGUA